GACGAACGCUGGCGGCGUGCUUAACACAUGCAAGUCGAACGGAAAGGCCCUGCUUUUGUGGGGUGCUCGAGUGGCGAACGGGUGAGUAACACGUGAGUAACCUGCCCUUGACUUUGGGAUAACUUCAGGAAACUGGGGCUAAUAUCGGAUAGGAGCUCCUGCUGCAUGGUGGGGGUUGGAACGUUUCGGCGGUUGGGGAUGGACUCGCGGCUUAUCAGCUUGUUGGUGGGGUAGGGGGUUACCAAGGCUUUGACGGGUAGCCGGCCUGAGCGGGUGACCGGCCACAUUGGGACUGAGAGACGGCCCAGACUCCUACGGGAGGCAGCAGUGGGGAAGAUUGCACAAUGGGCGGAAGCCUGAUGCAGCAACGCCGCGUGCGGGAUGACGGCCUUCGGGUUGUAAACCGCUUUCGCCUGUGACGAAGCGUGAGUGACGGUAAUGGGUAAAGAAGCACCGGCUAACUACGUG
rnacentral:rRNA from 1 species